rnacentral:rRNA from 1 species
AUUGAACGCUGGCGGAAUGCUUUGCACAUGCAAGUCGAACGGCAGCACGGGGCAACCUGGUGGCGAGUGGCGAACGGGUGAGUAAUACAUCGGAACGUGCCCAAUCGUGGGGGAUAACGUAGCGAAAGUUACGCUAAUACCGCAUACGAUCUACGGAUGAAAGCGGGGGAUCGCAAGACCUCGCGCGAGUGGAGCGGCCGAUGUCAGAUUAGGUAGUUGGUGGGGUAAAGGCUCACCAAGCCAACGAUCUGUAGCUGGUCUGAGAGGACGACCAGCCACACUGGAACUGAGACACGGUCCAGACUCCUACGGAGGCAGCAGUGGGGAAUUUUGGACAAUGGGCGCAAGCCUGAUCCAGCCAUUCCGCGUGCAGGAUGAAGGCCUUC